AGGCUUACUUAGUUUUAACCUUUCCUUCUCCUUUAAAUUACAUUUUAAAUACAUUUUAUAUUUGACAGCCCAUAAUGUUCGUCAUAUCCGACUACUAGAACAAUGGAAAUGGCAAAAUUUAGAUGGCAAUAGGAGAGGGACAGUCUGCAACAAGCUACAACAAAAACAUAGACUGCAGGCUGCCAUGGCUUUGCCAGCUUGUUGUUCAGUAUCACCUCUCAUUCCUAGCAAAAUGAUGGUAGUGACCAGUCAUUUAGGGUGGUCUCCAGAGAUUUUUUAUUUCCCAGUAGUGCCACGUGGGAAGUAGGAACUACAUAUUGGGUACCACCUUAUACCACAGGUAGAAUUUAUUUGCCAAUGUUUCUAGUUCUAGUAGACGUCAGAAAAUUCUUGCAUAAGAUUUUGUCUUUUGUCUGAGAACAGUGGAGGAUGAACUGCCCCUCUUCACCUGUUAUCACUUUGAAUAAGGGAGCAACUCCACAGUGCGUCUCAAGCCGACAUGUCGCCAUGCGGCGAAACGCAUGCAACGUUUCUGAUGUUCUGAAGAUACAGGAAGUGAAAGAGAAAUUGCAGCUUUCCAAGCCGCUGUAGAAUAUCAUCCAAAAGGACAGCAAUUGUUCUCUUCAAGUCAGCUAUGAAGAAAAAGAAGCGAAAUAAGGCAUUAGAAGAACAGACAAUAUGGAACGAAAAAAUGAAACCACAUGGACAAAUUAAAUUGCUACAGGUAGGACUACACGAACGAUUUUGGCACGAUCCGACGCGCUGCGACAAAACUCGUGACAAAAAUAAGGUAAGAGAUAGAAUUGUUGCAUGGUGUCGCAACGCUGAUACGAAGCGACACGACUGUUGGAUCUCUUAAUGACCUCUACCCUAUCCAGUAGUUGUGUGACACAUAUAACAGCUGUGAUUACACAGAGCUCAUUAUCUCUUAAUUAAACAAACUCGCCUGAUUACAGA